AACGAACGCUGGCGGCAUGCCUAACACAUGCAAGUCGAACGAGACCUUCGGGUCUAGUGGCGCACGGGUGCGUAACGCGUGGGAAUCUGCCCUUGGGUUCGGAAUAACAGUUAGAAAUGACUGCUAAUACCGGAUGAUGUCUUCGGACCAAAGAUUUAUCGCCCAGGGAUGAGCCCGCGUAGGAUUAGCUAGUUGGUGAGGUAAAGGCUCACCAAGGCGACGAUCCUUAGCUGGUCUGAGAGGAUGAUCAGCCACACUGGGACUGAGACACGGCCCAGACUCCUACGGGAGGCAGCAGUGGGGAAUAUUGGACAAUGGGCGAAAGCCUGAUCCAGCAAUGCCGCGUGAGUGAUGAAGGCCUUAGGGUUGUAAAGCUCUUUUACCCGGGAUGAUAAUGACAGUACCGGGAGAAUAAGCCCCGGCUAACUCCGUGCCAGCAGCCGCGGUAAU
rnacentral:rRNA from 1 species